rnacentral:lncRNA from 1 species
AGUUGAAGUGGCAGGAAAUUUUUACAUAGGAGAGUAUGGUGAUCAUAUUUGCAUUUUAGAAAAUAAUGGAUAGCAGUUUGUUAGGGGAACAAAGGACAGAGACAGGGAGACUAUUUAAAACAUUAAUAAAAAAUACCCGUGACAGAUGAUGAGGCAUCUACCUGAUGGGAAUGGAGAAGAGGAGAUGGAUUCAGAAACUACUUAGGAGAGGCAGGCAGUCCAAGGCUGAUGCCCAAAGAAGCCAUCAAGACCCGUGCUACUUCCAGCUCCUUCUGUCCUCAUAAUCAUAGAUGAUUGCUCCACAUCCAGAGUCUCGCUCAGUUUCCAGGCUGGAGUGUAAUGGCGUGAUCUUGGCUCACUGCAACCUCUGCCUCCCAGCUUCAAGUGAUUCCCCUGCUUUAGCCUCCCAAGCAGCUGGGACUACAGGCAUGCACCAGCAUGGCCGGCUAAUUUUUUUUUAUAUUUUAGUACAGAUGGGGUUUAACCAUGUUGGCCAGGAUGAUCUUGAUCUCCUGACCUCGUGAUCUGCCCACCUCAGCCUCCCAAAGUGCUAGGAUUACAGGCGUGAGCCACCUUGCCCGGCCUUCUAUUCCUUUUUCUAAUGCAUUUGCCCCAGCUAUCUGUAUAGCCUGCAAUCUGGUAGAUGGACCACAGGGAAACCACUGCAGCAAACUAAAAGUGUCUAUCUCAGAUCCUUCCACCACCAUCAUUUCCAAAAUCACCGUCACUAUCUCCACCACCAUGACCUUUACCACCAUCACCACUAUCAUCCUCAUCCUUCCCAUCACCAUCUCCACUGCUAUCUCUCAACACCAUCAUCAUCACCACCACCACCAUCAUCACCAUGAGCACCACCUCUGUCAUCAUCAAAAAAGCACACAGUUCAGGCUGGCCUGUUGGAGGAUAACAGAUCAUGUGGAGCAGAGACGAGCUGGCCCACCUCAGGCCCUACCAGAGCAAUCAGCUUGCCAAACACGACAUACAUCAGCGAGGCCAUCCUAGACCAUCCAGCCCUAGCUGAGCCAGCCCAGACCAGAGACUCAUGAGAGACAGUAAAAUGUUCAUCAUUUUAAGCCACUA